UCUUCUUGGUUCCGCAUGCUGUGGCGGGGCCUUCAGUCCUGUACAGCCGUUCUGUUGUUCCCCACCACCUUUUUCGUGCAGUGCAUCUCGGCUACACGCGGCUCUUGAUGCCUGAAGACCCAAAGCGGCCCCGGCGGGAGGAACAAGCCAUGUUGCCUCAGAUCGGCACCCACAAUGGGACGUUCCACUGCGACGAGGCGCUGGCGUGCUACUUCCUGCGGACGCUGGACGCUUACAGGGAUGCAGAGAUCAUCAGAACCCGGGACCCUCAACUCUUGGCUCAGUGUGAUGUAGUGGUGGAUGUGGGUGGAGAGUAUGAUCCUUCUAGGCACCGUUAUGACCACCAUCAGAGGUCCUUUUGUGAGACCAUGCACAGUUUAUAUCCCGACAAGCCGUGGGUCACGAAGCUGAGCAGUGCAGGGCUGGUAUAUGUCCAUUUUGGAUCUCAGAUUCUUGCCACCCUACUAGGCACAGAAGAGGAAGAUCCCAUCAUCUCUGUGUUGUACGACAAGAUGUAUGAGAACUUUGUUGAAGAAAUUGAUGCUAUUGACAAUGGGAUAUCACAGUUUGAUGGAGAUCAGCGAUACUCUGUCACCACAACUUUGAGUGCCCGUGUGGGGCACCUAAACCCUCGCUGGAAUGAAUCAGAUCAAGAUACUGAGGCAGGUUUUAAAAAGGCAAUGGAAUUGGCCGGUUCAGAGUUUGUGUCACGCUUGGAUUUCUAUCACCGAUCUUGGCUACCAGCACGAGCUUUGGUGGAAGAGGCAAUCAGGGAAAGAAUUCAGGCAGAUGAGAGCGGUGAGGUGAUUGUCCUGGCACAGGGAGGCUGUCCUUGGAAAGAACACCUCUUCCAGCUGGAGAAAGAACUUGGUCUGGAAAAGCAAGUGAAAUAUGUAUUAUAUCCUGACCAGAGUGCAAAGUGGAGGGUGCAGUGUGUCCCUACAGGCCCCAACACUUUCCAGAACCGCUUGUCUCUGCCCGAGGAUUGGCGUGGGCUUCGUGCCGAUGACCUCUCGUCUAUUAGCGGAAUACCAGGUUGCAUCUUUGUUCAUACCAGUGGAUUUAUUGGUGGAAAUGAGACCCAAGAAGGAGCACUAGAAAUGGCACGAAAAGCACUUAGAUCCUAAGAAACUUCCUCUAGAAAUAGGACAGAACAAAGUAACAACAUCCCCUUGUAUUUAUAUUGUAACAUCAUUAAAUAUUUUUGUAUACAA